rnacentral:rRNA from 3 species
GACCUCAUUCGCGAGUGGUUACCCACUGAAUUUAAGCAUAU